ACACAAGGAAGGAGGUGGUCCGCGAAAUUGUUAGCUUCAUGGACAUGUGAGGUGGCUACGCGCUAGCUGCACCGGCUCGGAAGAGCUAGCGAUUGUGCGCUGGCGAAUUCCCCGUAGCCACCCGGCCCCCGAGCUUCCGGUUUUGUCCGACCAGGAGCCACGCUCGGGGGCCGUUCCAU
rnacentral:sRNA from 1 species